UGGGGCUCACCUCUUACCAUUCCGAACAGAGAAGUUAAGCCCAUCAGCGCAGAUGGUACUGGGAAACCGGGAGAGUAUGUCGCCGCCUUCU
rnacentral:rRNA from 1 species